GGGUGUAUGUGAGUGAGUGAGCGUGUGUGUGUGUAUGUGUGUGAGAGAGAUAGCUCUGGCAAGGGAUAAAGACCAAACAACGUCCCUGUUUGCAUCUGAAAUCUCCAACUGUGGAAGAAAGGGGGUGUAAGAGGAAAUCCCAGCUCCUCCACCUUCCAAACAAGAAGAGGAAACUCAACGGGUUGCUCUGAGUUUUCCAGGUCAUAUGGCCAUGUUCCAGAAGCAUUCUCUCCUGAUGUUUCACCCACAUCUAUGGCAGGCACCCUCAGAGGUUGUGAGGUUGUUGGAAACUAGGCAAGUGGGGUUUAUAUUUCUGUGGAAUGCCCAGGUGGGAGAACGAAUUCUUGUAUAUUUGAGGAAAGUGUGAAUGUUGCAAUUGAUUGACUAGCAUGGAAAGGCCUCGCAGCUUCAAGGCCUCGCUGCUUCCUGCCGGGGGAAUCCUUUGUUGGGAGGUGAUUAGCUGCCCCUGAUUGUUUCUUGUCUGGAAUUCCCCUGUUUUCUGACUGUUGUUCUUAUUUACUGUCCUGAUUUUAGAGUUUUAUAAUACUGGUAGCCAGGUAUUGUUUAUUUUCAUGGUAUCCUCCUUUCUGUUGAAGUUGUCCACAUGCUUGUGGGUUUCAAUGGCUUCUCUGUGUAGCCUGACAUGGUGGUUGUUAGGGUGGCCCAGCAUCUCUGUGUGCUCAAAUAAUAUGCUGUGUCCAGGAUGGUUUAGCAAGUGCUCUACUAUGGCAGACUUCUCUGGUUAAUUUGCAGUUCCUUUCUUGUUCCCUGAUUCCUGUUUGGGCCAUGCUGCGUUUGGUGGUCCCUAUGUAGACUUGUUCAUAGCUGCAUGGUAUAGGGUAGAUUCCUGCAGAGGUGAGAAGAUCCCUUUUGUCCUUUGCUGAACAUAGCAUUUGCCGCCUUCCCAGACAGGAAGCAUCCAGGCCUUGAAGCUGAGAAGCCAUUCAAUGCUUAUCAAGGUAGCCAAUUGCAUCAUUCACACUUGCCUCCAACAUACAAGAGUUCUUUCUCCCACCCUGGAAAUUCUACAGAUAUAUAAACCCCACUUGCUUAGUUUCCAACAGCCCUCACAACCUCUGAGAUUGCCUGCCAUAGAUGUGGGUGAAACGUCAGGAAAGAAUGCAUCUGGAACAUGGCCAUACAUCCCGGAUCUCUCCCUGUGAGUGUGCUUUGCAAUCCCAGCCACACAAACGCGGGGGGAGACUCUCCCCCUGCCCAGAAGCCCUUCUCCACGGAAUGCAAAGCAAUGUAAAACAUUUCAGAAGUGCUGCAAGGGGGGAGGGAGGCUGUUGAGGGAGGAAAAGAGCCGUGAGGAUGUUGCUCAGAGAAGUUCCUCUGACUCCCAAGUGCCUCUCCCUCCCUUAACACCGUCCUCGUCUGGGAUGAGUUUACAACUCGGCGGCUAGAGGAGGGGAAGGCAGCCACAACAACCAGGAUCUGCGGGAUCUUGCAGCCUCCGGGCAGAGUUUGCAAAGGGCCACCCGGCAGCUCUGGCUCUGGCUUUGGUCUCCUUUCGCCUGGAAGGUGGCUGGCAACACAAAGCCUCAAGGAUUUCGCCCUGCUCCGCCGCCAGCCCUUUUCAGCGCCUCUGCCCCAGUUUGAUUUCACUGGAUCACUCAAAAUCACCACACCUUCCCAGAUCCUGGUGACACAGAAGCAGAGCAUCCAUUCCCAUUAUUACACAGGGAGGGCCAACCGAAUAGGAACCUGCCUUCUCCUCCUGCAUUCAUUCAUUUAUAAUUAUCAUCCUGUCUAUAUGUCCUUCUUUAGCAUCUCAGGGGAUAUGGUUUCAAAGCCCAUGGAGAAAGGGGCAGGCAUUGGCAUCCUUUCUAUCUCCCUUUUCCACACUGGGAGGGAAAUUGGAUAUGCAUUAAAUAAAUCGGGGGGGGGGGGGGGACUUGUGAGGCAAUCCAGGAAAUGGUGGAUGGCAACUUCACAUACUUUUGGGGAGGGCCCUAUCUGGAGGGCCUCCUGCAUCCCCCUCCCAUACUACAAAUCUCUAUGGGGUGACUUGAUAUAUUUCUGCUCUUCUGCGCUCGACAACCCUAUCAAAAUGAAUUUGAUCUGUUUCCCAAGGACUGGAAACCCAGGCACACUUUCAGAUUUCUUCCGAGGAAAGUAGAAAGCAAGUCUACACAGUGCCUGAACAGAAUCAAGGAACAGGAAAGGCACUGCAGACGAACUCAAUCAGAGAAGUCAGCUAUAGCAGAGCACUUGAUGAACCAAUAUGGACACAGCAUAUUAUUUGAGAACACAGAAAUGCUGGACCACUCUAACAACCACUAUGUCAGACUACACAGAGAAGCCAUUGAAAUCUACAAGCAGGUGGACAAUUUCAACAGAAAAGAGGAAAAAAUGAGAACACUCUAAAAACAAGGGAAUUCCAGACAUGAAACAAUCAGGGGUAGCUAAUGCCUCUUAACAAACAAUUCCUCCAGGCAGGAAUCAGCCAGGCUUUGAAGCUGCAAGUCCAUUCAAUGCUAAUCAAGGUGAUUAAUUGCAACUUUCUCACUUGCCUCCAACAGACAAGAGUUCUUUCUCCCAUCUUGGACCUUCCACAGAUAUAUAAACCUCACUUGCUUAGUUUCCAACAAACCUGGCAACUUUUGAGGAUGCCUGCCACAGAUGUGGGCGAGACAUCAGGAGAGAAUGCUUCUCGAACAUGUCCAUACAGCCCAGAAAACUCACAGCAACCCAGAAAGCAAUGUGAUUUUGAAAGAAAGAAAGACAAAAAAAAGAAGGAUUCAGCAUGGAGAACAGGGUAAAUACAUUCCCAAGCCAGAGCCUUCACAGAUUUGGGACUCUAGAUAAGUUCUUGCUCCAGUGCACAAAGAAUGUUUCUUUAUCCAUCCUCCCUCUUUUAAGGCCUAAAACUGUGCUCAUGUUUCAGAGUGGCUUCCUCAAGAACUACGGGUUCAGAGCUCGGUGUGUUAAGUUUCCAAAAAUCCAGAUGUGACACAUACGGGUUGAAGGCAAAACCAGAGGCUUUAUUCUCAGUGACCAAUGAGGAUGUCAGCACAGAGCGCACUCCAAAAAACUGACAUACCGCAAUUGCCAUACAUAGGUAUAUUUAUUGUAUUUUGACAGCUAUUCAAGAGGACCACACUAGAAAUGGGAUUUAGAAACUUGGUGGGCUUAUAUCAGAAUAUAUAAUUAAUGACUUUAUCAAUCAAAGGAAAAACAAAUAUACAAUUAGCCAAAAAAACCCAAGACUGGUUCAGGAAAUGGUUUGUGCUAAUUGACAAAAUAGAUGGAGACAACAGAUACAGCACCUUGAAACAGGCUUUCUACAUGGUUAAACUGAUGCAAUGACAAUAUUUAGAAUUGCUGUUCUAGGGGGGUGGGGGGAAUGAGGGGAGGGCAGGGGUAGUGGGUGAUACAUAUCUAUGGAACGUUUAAAAUGUCAUUUAAGGAAUAUUUACUUUUGGAAUAAUGUAUAAUGAAAUAAGUCCCAUGUGGCAAAAGUUUGUUAAAAGUCGGGAUGUAUCAAAUAAAAUUUAUAAAAAAAGAAGAAGACCACACUAGCUCCUGAUUGGUCCUGAAGUGUCUGGCUAGGAUCUACUCCAUGUUUGGUCUAGGGCUUCAUCCAGUGUCAUUGCUGAUCAGCUCCACAGUGGUGGGAAACUUGAAUAAAUUGUCAUUGAAUUAUUUAGAAAAGUGUGUCCAUUUAUUGACCCGCUCCUGAGAGGAAGGACACAAUCAGAAAGUAAUGUGGUGGAGGCAGUGAUAAUGUGCUGAAAUGGGUCUGGUUUGCUCCAGUUAAUAUAAUGGUGCCAGGCCAAAUAAACAAAAGGGUGCUUUAGGAUGUUGGCCAUUUCAAUGGGAGCCUCAAGAAUGGGUAUGGUUUGGUGACUCAAACAAGGAAGUGUUUCCAGGGAUAAAUCCAAUCGUAUCAGGGGAAACAGAAAAAGAUCCAAAGAUUACAUUAACCCAUUGUUUGUUCCCUGAGUUUUCUCUGGCAUUGUGAGAAGAUAAUUGGGGGAUUACAUCCUGAAGUGCGAGGUGUAGUAGGGCAACAUUCCAGAGCAAUUCACUAAAAGGUUGCUACAGGACAAAUGGAAAAGGCAAUGCAGGCUCACUGUCCCAAUGGAGCCACAUCUCCUAAUUCAUAAUUCUGGGAUCUAAUUUUCAAAAUCAAUAGAGCACCAAAACAAUUAUUUGGUUGACAAUCAGAUUAAUUUUGGUAAGGUCAGUUUCUGUUCUGGACAAGUUAUUAGAAAAGAGCACAUAUUUAAAAGACUUUUAAGAUGUGUAAUUGCCCCUAUCUCUCCCUCUGGAAAAGAAGAAUAAGAAUGCAAAAGAGGCCGUGAUCCAUACUGGAAAGCUCACAGCAGGUUCAGAAGCCUGUAUGUUCUAGAAUGAUCCAAAUGGCAUCUAAAGAUAUGAGCUGGAAUCAGAGACCACAAAUCAGGAAUCUGAUCCAGAAUUAACAAAUCCGGAUUAAGGCCGCUACAUUCAUUAGACAUCAGCAGAUGCAUUUGGUUUUCCUGGGAUGAUUCUGGUUAGAUUGAGAGAGUUGGCACAAGGACUCAAGUACAAUGGUCAGUCAUUAUGUUCUUUAUUAUAAGUGAGUUGAAAGUCCCUGAUGAACUGAAAAGAUUUCCAAAAUGUGGUGACUAUUUUGCAGAUCUUCAAUACAGUUUUUUUCCAUUUUGAAUAUAGUUUCCUUCCACAGCAAUAGUAAGAGUAAAAUGCUGGCAGUCUACCAUACACAGGAAAACCCGAGACAAGAGAACAUUCUGCUCCUCAGGCUCAUUUCAGAUUUGCCCAAGGUGUAUUUACACUGUGGAAUUAAUGCAAUUUGAAAUCACUUUAAAUCAGCCAUGGCCCAACACUAUGGAAUUCUGGGAGUCACAGUUUGGUGAAGCAUCAGCACUCUUUCACAGAGGAGGCCAAUGAUCUUGUAAAAUUGCAACUCUCACUAUUUUAUGGCAUUCAGCCAUGACAGUUAAAAUGGUGCCAAACUGCAUUAAUUCUACCAUGUAGAUGUGCCCCAGAGAGGGCUUGAGUCUUAUUAAAAAUGUAAAGCUUCUUUCUAGGGCAAAACCCCAGAAAAAAAUCAACUUAUGUAAGUCUUUUCUCAGACACCAAAGUCUAUAUAUCCAUUACUGUCGUGGAACAUAUCUUCCAUUCACAGAUCUUCAGAUUCAGCCCUUACAAUUUUGUCAUGCUGGUUGGAACUAAUGGGAACUGGCUUUCAUCAGUAAUGUUAGUUCCGCCAUUUUUCUGCUCUUACUUCAGAUAACGUUAGUAGAUUUUCUUUGGCUACUUAAACAUAUUCCAAUGAGAUUCCAAAAAGUAUAUUAAGAUCAAUUUGAAAAAAAAUGCUUUACAGGAUAAUGUUUUGAACCUGAAAAACUGAAUUUGUUAUUUUGCUCUGUUUGGAAACUGAAAUUCAACAUUGAACUACAGCUAGCUUUUAGCUUCUUGCAGGGGUUAUCUCACCUUAUUUUUAACAUGAAAAUAAGCUAAAGACUUCCAAGUAAAUCUGUUUGAGUAUU